rnacentral:rRNA from 1 species
GAUGAACGCUAGCUACAGGCUUAACACAUGCAAGUCGAGGGGAAACGAUAGAGAAAGCUUGCUUUUUCUAGGCGUCGACCGGCGCACGGGUGAGUAACGCGUAUCCAACCUGCCCAUCACUUGGGGAUAACCUUGAGAAAGUAAGGCUAAUACCCAAUGACGUCUCUAGAAGCCAUCUGAAAGAGAUUAAAGAUUUAUCGGUGAUGGAUGGGGAUGCGUCUGAUUAGCUUGUUGGCGGGGUAACGGCCCACCAAGGAGACGAUCAGUAGGGGUGCUGAGGGGAAGGUCCCCCACAGUGGAACUGAGACACGGUCCAAACUCCUACGGGAGGCAGCAGUGAGGAAUAUUGGUCAAUGGGCGAGAGCCGGAACCAGCCAAGUAGCGUGCAGGAUGACGGCCCUAUGGGUUGUAAACUGCUUUUAUAAGGGAAUAAAGUGAGUCUCGUGAGACUUUUUGCAUGUACCUUAUGAAUAAGGACCGGCUAAUUCCGUGCCAGCCGCCGCGGUAA